GACGAACGCUGGCGGCGUGCUUAACACAUGCAAGUCGAGCGGAGCGGCGAACGGGCGAGUAACGCGUGAGUAACUGCCCCCCUCUCUGGGGUAACAGUUGGCAACGGCUGCUAAUACCGGAUAGUUGGGGAUGACUCGGGUCCUAUCAGCUUGUUGGUGGGGUAGUGGCCUACCACGGCGACGACGGGUAGCCGGCCUGAGAGGGCGACCGGCCACAUUGGGCUGAGCGACGGCACAAACUAGUACGGGGGGCAGGAGUGGGGAAUAUUGCACAGUGGGGGAGAGCCGGAUGCAGCAACGCGCGUGCGGGAUGUCGGCGUUCGGGUUGUAAACCGAGUUCAGCCAUGACGCGGUAGUGGCAGAAGAAGCACCGGCUAACUACGUGCCAGCAGCCGCGGUAAUUC
rnacentral:rRNA from 1 species